CAAUCUAUUAUUAUAUACUGUGAAUAAUGUUCUUUUAAAAUUCCUGUUAACCGUUUCUGCGGGCAGGAAUGCAGUAACACGGAGAGGAUUUGAAUAUAACCUGGCUGUAGGAAUUCUGUCUGCGCCAUUCCUGGAAAAGUCUCCGUCGUCCUCCUGCCCGCUGUUACUCACCCACUAUGUUUAUUUAUUACAUAUAGAUUGGUGGCAGAACUCUGCUCUCCAGAGUUCAGUACAGACGUCUCUAGCCUUGUGAGGGAGUAUGUCAAUGGAUACAAUUUAAGCGUACAGCAAUCUUCUUCCUGCUAUUUGUUUAAUGGUUUCAUUAACGUGAGUCUAUCGCGGAACCAUUAUCUUUCAGUGUUCACCUCUGAUCGCAGCUAAAGCCACAUACAUGAACUGUUCUGAUGUAUCGGAGAUCACGUUUCUCUUUGCGGGUUGUUUUAUUUGCGGUCGGGUAAUCUCGGGCUGAUUAACCGUGUGCGGGAUGAAGACGGACAAACGACCCGCGCAGCGUAUUCACCCGGCAACGACCCGAAGAGUUUGCUCUCCACUCAUCGAACCGGAUCACAAGUCCGGUCAGCUGGGAUUAGAGUAACCACAGAAUGUUGGAAUGCUUGUCAUCAUCAUGGCUGAAGGUGGCGAUUGGACAAGAGAUGCAGGGACAUCUACAUCAAGUCAACAGAAAGAGAAGCAGAAUAUGGUAACACCUAUCCACACCACGCCUGAAGUUGGAAACAGGGCUGUGGCUCCAGUGACCUCAACAACAAGGACGGACACAGCAGAUGCAGUCCCUGAUCUAACACACUGCUGAUGAUCCUGCCCUCCAACAACUUGCGGACGUUAUCCGCCAUGGUUGGCCUGACUGACGCUCUUCCCUGCCGGCUGAUGCCGUACCCUACUUCCUGGUUCGGGAUGAACUGGUGCUACACGACAGCGUGGUGGUGAAGGGUCACAAGGUCGUGGUGCCGGCCGCUCUGCGGGAUCACUAUUUCCAAUCUGCACACAACGGCCACCCCGGGGUGGAAGCCACUUUGUCCCAGGCCCAAAGCCAGUUUUACUGGCCGGGUAUGGCUCAAGACAUCCGUGACAGAGUCUCCGCUUGCGCUGCCUGCAACAGUCUCCUGCCUCAUCAGCAGCGCCAGCCUCUCCUGCAGCAGCCGGCCCCCGAGCUACCGUGGAUGUCUGUUCGAAUGUCAUGGCAAACACUUCCUGGUCCUGGUGGACUCAUACUCCAGUUGGUUUGAGGUGGAUCAGCUGCCUUCCAUCACCUCUGCCGCCGUCAUCGGGAAGCUUCGCCGCCACUUUUCGACCUUCGGAUCCCCGGUGACCCUCCAAUCGGACAACGGCAGCCAGUUCUCCAGCGCCGAGUUCCGUGCCUUCGCUGCCCGUUGGAACUUUUGCCACCACACUAGCAGCCCUGAGUAUCCGCAGAGCAACGGCCUUGCGGAACGCGCUGUCUGCAGUGCCAAGGAGCUGCUGGAACACUGCCGCCUUUCCCAUUCCGACUUCUACCUUGCCCUCCUCAACCUCCGCAACAUUUCCCGCGACCCCGCGACUCGGUUUGCCUGCCCAGCGCCUCAUGUCCCGCACCACUAGACCACCUCUCCCUGUCUCACAACAGUCCCUCAAACCCUCGGUCCAGACCCCUGCCGCUGUCACGGAGCGCAUCAUCGAGAAGCAAGCCACCCAGAAGCGCUCCUUUGACAAGUCGGCCCGGCCGCUUCCUCGCCUGUUCCCGGGCCAGGGGGUUCGGAUGCAGUCCCCCUCCGGGCACUACAGGCUGGCCGUUGUAGUUGGUAAUGCCGGCUCUCCCCGGUCAUAUCUCGUCGACUAAGAGGGCACCGUCUACCGUCGGUCACGUCAGCACCUCCUGCUCGUCAACGAGCCUCCUCCGCCUCCCACGGACCCGUUUCAGCCACCUAUCCCUUCCAUUUUGCCCGAAGCUCCGCCAGCCCCUGUCACUCCGCGCAUGCUGCGGAAACUGCCCUCCCAGCUCUCUGUGCCCCGCACUCACAAGCCUCUUUCCCCUGCCUCGCCUGCCAGUGUACCCGUUUCGCCUCGCUGUUCUCCUCCAUCUCCGGUGCGUUCCUCGUCCAGCUCUCCCACCUCUGUCCCUGACUCUGUCCCUUCUGCUCCUGCGGUUGAGGGGGAAUGCGGGUUGCGCACCCGCUCUGGGCGGUUGGUCAAGCCGCCUGUCCGUUACGGGGAGCUCGCUUAGCUGUAUUAUGACCCGGUUAACUAUUCCCGGUGCGGUUUGUAAUCCUAGCGUAUGAGCCGUGGUCGCUCUGUAUAUUGCCAUGCUUUUGUUUCCAAGAGGAGGGAUGUAGAUCAGUGCAUGUCCCUUUAACAUAGUGACCUCACCACUACUAACCACUCCCCAUUGUCUCUCGUAUAAUUGUAGUGUCCCCACCUCCAGCUCACUCUCUAGCUCCAGUGAUGACCACGGACAGCUAUUGCAUAGUGUGUAUUAGUGCUUGUAAUAAACUAUCAGUAAAAGACUUUGUGUGGCAAUCAAGUCGUUUUACAAUCGUGGAGGUGAUGAAACAUCCUCACUGAAGAUUCAGAUGUGCAUUAAUGCAGUGACUGAGGAGUGAAGAUUAUAAGGGCGCAUAAAACGUCGUGAUUUGGACUCUGUAAUGUUAGAUGUAUUAUGGUGCAAUGUGUGCCUCAGAAACAUAGAGGCAUGCGGCAUGGAACAAGACUCUUCGGCCCACCUUGGACACGUCAACCAACAUGGGGGAUGGGAGCAUGAGCAGAGAGACAGAGGGUGUAAAAUGAGGGUAGAAGCAAUAGGUAGCAAGGUGAAAAGUACAAGUGGCAGGCAGACAAAUUCAUGGGAAAAAUCAAAAAGGGCCACUUUUCAACAUAAUUGUAUUAGGGGUAAGAGUGUUGUAAAAACAAGCCUGAAGGCUUUGUGUCUCAAUGCAAGGAGCAUUCAUAAUAAGGUGAAUGAGUUGAAUGUGCAGAUAGUUAUUAAUGAAUAUGAUACAGUUGGGAUCACGGAGACAUGGCUCCAAGGUGACCAAAACUGGGAGCUGAACAUCCAGGAAUAUUCAAUAUUCAUGAGGGAUAGACAGAAAGGAAAAUGAGGUGGGGUAGCGUUGCUGGUUAGAGAGGAGAUUAACGCAAUAGAAAGAAAGAACAUUAGCUUGGAGGAUGUGGAAUCGAUAUGGGUAGAGCUGCGAAUCACUAAGGGGCAGAAAGCGCUAGUUUUCUAGCUAGUUUUGCUAGUAGAAAUUCAGAGCCCAGCAGAGGAAGACAAAGGGCUUAAUUAGGAAAGGGAAAAUAGAACGAAAGAAAACUGGCAGGAAACAUAAAAACUGACUGCAAAAGCUUUUAUAGAUAUGUGAAGAGAAAAAGAUUAGUUAAAACAAAUGUAGGUCCCUUGCAGUCAGAAACAGGUGAAUUGAUCAUGGGGAACAAGGACAUGGCAGACCAAUUGAAUAACUACUUUGGUUCUGUCUUCACUAAGGAAGACAUAAAUAAUCUGCCGGAAAUAGCAGGGGACCGGGGGUCAAAUGAGAUGGCGGAACUGAGUGAAAUCCAGGUUAGCCGGGAAGUGGUGUUAGGUAAAUUGAAUGGAUUAAAGACCAAUAAAUCCCCAGGGCCAGAUAGGCUGCAUCCCAGAGUACUAAAGGAAGUAGCCCCAGAAAUAGUGGAUGCAUUAGUGAUAAUUUUUCAAAACUCUUUAGAUUCUGGAGUAUUUCCUGAGGAUUGGAGGGUAGCUAAUGUAACCCCACUUUUUAAAAAGGGAGGGAGAGAGAAAACGGGGAAUAACAGACCAGUUAGUCUAACGUCGGUAGUGGGGAAACUGAUAGAAUCAGUUAUUAAAGAUGGGAUAGCAGCACAUUUGGAAAGUGGUGAAAUCAUUGGACAAAGUCAGCAUGGAUUUAUGAAAGGUAAAUCAUGUCUGACGAAUCUUAUAGAAUUUUUCGAGGAUGUAACUAGUAGAGUGGAUAAUGGCUGGCAGACAGGAAGCAAAGAGUAGGAGUAAACGGGUCAUUUUCACAAUGUGAGGCAGUGACUAGUGGGGUAUCGCAAGGCUCAGUGCUGGGACCCCAGCUAUUUACGAUAUAUAUUAAUGAUUUGGACGCGGGAAUUGAAUGCUACAUCUCCAAGUUUGCGGAUGGCACGAAGCUGGGGGGCAGUGUUAGCUGUGAGGAGGAUGCUAGGAGGCUGCAAGGUGGCUUGGAUAGGCUGGGUGAGUAGGCAAAUGCAUGGCAGAUGCAGUAUAAUGUGGAUAAAUGUGAGGUUACCCACUUUGGUGGCAAAAACAGGAAAGUAGACUGUUAUCUGAAUGGUGGCCGAUUAGGAAAAGGGAGAUGCAACGAGACCUGGGUGUCAUGGUACGCCAGUCAUUAACAGUAGGCAUGCAGAUGCAGCAGGCAGUGAAGAAGGCGAAUGGUAUGUUAGCAUUCAUAGCAAAAGGAUUUGAGUAUAGGAGCAGGGACGUUCUACUGCAGUUGUACAGGGUCUUUGUGAGACCACACCUGGAGUAUUGCGUACAGAUUUGGUCUCCUAAUCUGAGGAAAGACAUUCUUGCCAUAGAGGGAGUACAGAGAAGGUUCACCAGACUGAUUCCUGGGAUGUCAGGACUUUCAUAUGAAGAAAGACUGGAUAGACUCGGUUUGUACUCGCUAGAAUUUAGAAGAUUGAGGGGGGAAUCUUAUAGAAACUUACAAAAUUCUUAAGGGGUUGGACAGGGUAGAUGCAGGAAGAUUGUUUCCGAUGUUGGGGAAGUCCAGAACAAGGGGUCACAGUUUAAGGAUAAGGGGGAAAACUUUUAGGACCGAGAUGAGGAAAACAUUUUUCACACAGUUUUCAGAGUGGUGAAUCUCUGGAAUUCUCUGCCGCAGAAGGUAGUUGAGGCCAGUUCGUUGGCUAUAUUUAAGAGGGAGUUAGAUGUGGCCGUUGUGGCUAAAGGGAUCAGGGGGUAUGGAGAGAAAGGCAGGUACAGGAUACUGAGUUGGAUGAUCAGCCAUGAUCAUAUUGAAUGGCGGUGCAGGCUCGAAGGGCCGAAUGGCCUACUCCUGCACCUAUUUUCUAUGUUCUAAAUUGAAACAAUGGCGAAAUAUGGAUUGAAAACGGCUCAAUGUAAUAUUUUGUCAUAAAACUGGGGGGUUUUGAAAGAGCAUUACGUUGCGAGGUGGCAGAUAACCAGAUCUGGAAUGUUCACC